CAAGGGAUAACCCUUCCUUGGUAAGAACCUUAAGUUCAUGCACUGUGAACUCUUCUUUUUGGAAAUAUAGUCAUCCUGCCACUCAGAGAACUGGAGAAAUGGUCCUUGUCAAGAAGGUUGUCUCCUGCAAGUUCUGGAUUCAGAGCCAAGACGAAGAGAAUUAAGUAGCAGGUGGUGGGAACCAGGGCAUGUUCACAUCCACAGGUGGUCCGUUCCGAAUGACCUGACCCCCACCAGUUCCUGUGAGUUGCUCUGAAUGGGUAAGUGGGCAGGCGUGAACAGGCGACAUUUAGUGAAUGGGGUCGGACACUGG
ensembl:lncRNA